CGUUUAUCAAGUUUUUCUUUUCAAUUUUUCACCAAUUUGAUAUUAAGGUUUGCUGGAAGUCCUACUAGUUGGCCCUAGACCCUAGAUUUGAUACUAAGGUCUGCUCCAAGUCCUACAAGUGGGCCCUAGAACUAAUGGAGAAUUACUUUGAGCUUCUUGUCAAUUUCUCCAUUUAUGGAUAAAAAUAUGGUUAAAAUGUUGCAUGCCUUGGGCUACUGAUGAUGUUGAGGGGAGAUACAUUUCAUUGCAAGCUUGGUUGUAUAUCUUCUUGAAAAAUGUGUUAUUAUUUGAUUCGUAUUUGAGACAAUAGAUUUGAAUUUAAAUUAUGUAUAUGAUAUUGA